UACGAGGGGGGCAAGCGUUGUUCGGAAUUAUUGGGCGUAAAGGGUGCGUAGGCGGUUUGAUAAGUCAUCUGUGAAAUCUCUGGGCUCAACCCAGAGUCUGCAGGCGAAACUGUCGGGCUUGAGUAUGGGAGAGGUGAGUGGAAUUUCCGGUGUAGCGGUGAAAUGCGUAGAUAUCAAGAGGAACACCUGAGGUGAAGACGGGUUGCUGGGCCGACACUGACGCUGAGUGCGCGAAAGCCAGGGGAGCAAACGGG
rnacentral:rRNA from 1 species